CGGCGGACGGGUGAGUAACGCGUGGGUAACCUGCCUCAUACAGGGGGAUAACAGUUAGAAAUGACUGCUAAUACCGCAUAAGACCACGGUACCGCAUGGUACGGUGUGAAAAACUCCGGUGGUAUGAGAUGGACCCGCGUCUGAUUAGCUGGUUGGUGAGGUAACGGCCCACCAAGGCGACGAUCAGUAGCCGACCUGAGAGGGUGACCGGCCACAUUGGGACUGAGACACGGCCCAG
rnacentral:rRNA from 1 species